rnacentral:lncRNA from 1 species
AGGUGGAACAGCCGUAUACACCUGCUGUGGAGGUGGAACAGCACUAUAAACUUUACAUGAUGAAAUCCUAUGACAGUUAAAUCAAAAGUUAUUUCAUAAAACUUAAAGAAAUCCAAGUUAAAAAAUAACCAAAUAACAUAGUUUAAAGAAUUGCAAUAGAAAACGAUCACUGUCAAUCAGACCUCUACUUCUAAUGGUGAGAAUCCCAUCUUACCCACACACAGCCAUCUCAAACCCAAUAAUCUUAGUUACACAAAAACAAUUAAAAUUGAAUUUUAAAAGUACUAAAUAAUUGCCGUGUGAAAGAACCUAUCUGCAAUAAAUAAUUGCCAAAAUUUUAAAGUAAACUAAUAAAUAGUAGGCUAAAUUGCACUUUUGGCCCCUUAGUUUCAGAAAGUUGCGAUUUUGGCUCCCUAUAUUUCAAAAAAGCACUUUUGGCCCCCUAUCUUUACCCCCUUUUGCAAAAGCUCAAUUUUGACCAAGUCAAAGCUGAUGUGGCAAGCCACUUAAGUGACUCAGCUGCCACAUCAGUUUUUUUUUGUCAUCUUAUCAUUUAAAAAAAAAAUAUACAAGGGAAUGGAAGAGUCACGUAUUCAUUCUUAUAUAAUACAUGUACGUAAAAAAAAGAUUAACCUAAUCCCAAAUCCAAAAAUAGCAAACAAUGGAAACCCCUUGGUCUUGGUUCAUUGAUCUCUUACUGGAGGAUUUAAAUGGUUUCCAAUAUAAGAAGUGGUCUUUCAUUUCUGACCAGCAAGGUAUCAAUUUGUUUGAUUUGCAAUUUAGUUAAAUUAUGUUUGAAUCAUUUUAUUAAUUACAAUUAGUUUGAUUCUUUCAGGGGU